UACGGGGGGGGCAAGCGUUGUUCGGAAUUACUGGGCGUAAAGGGCGCGUAGGCGGUUUGAUAAGUCAGCUGUGAAAACCAUGGGCUUAACUCAUGGCCUGCAGUUGAGACUGUCGGGCUGGAGUGUGGGAGAGGAGAGUGGAAUUCCUGGUGUAGCGGUGAAAUGCGUAGAUAUCGUCAAGAACACCGAUAGUGAAGACAGCUCACUAAGCUCAAACUGACGCUGAGGCACGAAAGUGUGGGGAUCAAACAGG
rnacentral:rRNA from 1 species